AUUAAAACGAUGAAUAGAAUUAGUAAUUUUAAUUAAGUUAUUAAAGCGAGUUUAGGAAUGGUGAAAGCUAAACAUAACUAUUAAGAUGAAUGGAUCUAUGAGUGGCAUUAAUACUGCCCGCUUCCCGCGUUAAAAGGAUUAGUGCUAGAGAAAUCUAGAAUUAAGGUGGUACCACGGAUUAUAAACGUUCGUCCUUUAC
rnacentral:ncRNA from 1 species